rnacentral:rRNA from 1 species
UACGGAGGAUGCAAGCGUUAUCCGGAAUUAUUGGGCGUAAAGCGUCCGCAGGUGGCACUUCAAGUCUGCUGUCAAAGACCGGGGCUUAACCCUGGAAAGGCAGUGGAAACUGAAGCGCUAGAGUGUGGCAGGGGUAGAGGGAAUUCCCGGUGUAGCGGUGAAAUGCGCAGAUAUCAGGAGGAACACCGGUGGCGAAGGCGGGAUCCUGGGCCAGUACUGACGCUGAGGAGCGAAAGCGUGGGGAGCAAACAGG